AUCGAACCAUCUGAUUGGACGACCACUGUACCCCCUGAGCCACAGCCGCCCUGAUUCUUAUUUUCAUGCAGUUAUAUGCUAAGAAAAACUGCAUCAAGCAUUGGAACAAGGUUUACGGCAGAGAACAGGCACCCAACGGAGAGACAAGUCUACCAUUAAUGCACCAAAGAUCCGGCUGAUUACUGGCAAUUUGGAGGAGGAUUCUUCUUUAUCUGCUACGUUGCACUGUCACUUCUGGUACAGAUUCAUUGACUUUUUGUAUGUUUUGAUUUUACUUAGUAGUACACUGCAUAUUUAAGGGUUAUAAAUCAAGAAUGUAAUGCUUGUCCACAAAUACUACAAAUAUUGUCAGAACGACAGUAUACAGAGCCGCCAAGGGUCAGGAGAAUAAUGUGGAAAACAAAACUGAAAUGGAAAAUACAAGCUAAAAAACAACAGACCACAACCCCCUCAGCCCAAAAGCUCUCCACCUGUUUCAAAGGUGAAAUCAUGACCUCAUCAUGAUAGUACUGUUAACAGACAAGAUACACAUAUGGAGAAAUAGAAUUUUUAGUUUUUCAACUCCCCCUCUGGGAUCUGAAGAACUGUUUGUGAAUAAUUGGUUGAUAUUGUAAAUUUACAACUCAAUACAUUAAAUAAAGGGGUUUUAGAAUCAACAGUUGUGUGUAUUUUAUUUGUGAUUAAGUUCCCCACCCUACUUUAAUUGAUAAUAAUUAACAGUGAAAAUAUUUAAGGUUUUUGUUUGACAAUCGUACCUGCCAGACAGACUGUUUUUUGAGGUGGUUUUUAACACUUAUUAAAAGUGUUUGAUCGUAAUAAUCUAUGAAAGAUCUGUAGAAUAAAGGUAUUUUUCUGUAGAACUUUUAGCAUCGUCACUUUAUUAAAAGUGUUUGAUUGUAAUAAUUAUGAAAAAUCUGUAAAAUAAAGGUACUGUUCUGCAGAGCAUUAAAUGAAAAU